CCAUGAAUUUCCAAAUUGUACAUUAGAAGAUUUAAAGAUGUUUGGCAUCUCUGGAAAAGCAACGUCAAAAAGAGCGCGCGCACGUUUGUUUGUUUUGUUUCUGUUCUGUGUUUUGCCGGAAUUGCUACGCUAGAAAAGAUACGGUACGAGUGUGAACGACUUCCUGGCGGCCAGAGUGAAUUACCAUUCUCGAUCGAAUCUUGCCGUUGUAAUGUGUAAUAAAAUCAACGUUUUGGAGAUGGUUAGGUGUUUAUCGAAUACCUGCAAUAUGCUACAAACGUUGCAUGUUCCGAAUUGUCAGCAUGGAAGAAUCGGAAAACCAAAUCGGAAGAAUGACUUUAAUAAGGAGCAAGGCAAUCUGUUUCAAAAUGCAUCCGUCUUUACCCGGAAACCCACCUUUUUUGUUCUUUUGGGCGAUUUUUGGCUACGACAAUCUAGCUCCUCUAACCACAACCCCCAGGAUGAGAACUUACCACCAAUCAGAGAGCAGUCCACCAAGGCCUGUUGCAUCGCAAAGGGAAGAAAUACCAUGUAAUAGACUUUGACGUUCCUGACACCAGAUCCAGCAGCCUGACAGUGAAAACUUUCGGUUACAGAAAAUGGAGUUCUAGAAUCUAGAGCUAGAAAGAAAGGUGCUGCUAAUAUUGCACCUAGGGCAGUCACAGCACCAGGAGGACACAGUGUCAAAAAAAUCGGGAUACAAAUUCGAAAGUUUCGUUUUUAGAAUGCCACGGCCAUGUAUCCCACACGAACAUCUUCCCAAAUCAUUUUGGUGCUGGAGGCCUGAUUUUGGUACGACUCUCGGGACAAAUUGAGAUCGUGCUAAAGGAAGAUAAAAUCGAGCAGCAAUUGAAGCUUAUCGGAAUAAUUGAAGGACAUUAACCGAACAAAAAAAAAGGUGGAUGUUAUCAUUAUGAAACGGUUAAUUGAGGUUAUGCUUUUAAAUUAUUUACAUUAAUAAAUCAAUUCCGUAUCAAUUAUGUGACUUUCAUUUUUA